UGAGGAACUGCGAGUCCAAUAAUAAUUCAGCAAUGGGCUAAAUUUAAAUAAUCUGUUCGGCAGUCUCCGUGGAAACGCGUUGCAGAUAGUGUCCGUUCCAAAAAUCUGCUGUUCAUAACCUCUGCGUGUGUGUGUUUGUUUUUCGAAAAAAAAAACUUUUGCCGUCAUUUUAAGAUACAUCGAUGUGUAAGCUGAAAAUAAUCUAUACGAACCAGUCAGUGAAAUUUUCGGGAAUAUGAUUGAUUGAAAAAGAAACACGGUUUUAUAAAGACAAGCAGUUAAAAUUAUUUAAGAAUAUGAACGGCACAGAUCCUACUGAUAUCAUCCUCGAAAACUGUCGGUUUUGGAUCCAAAGAGUAUUGGUACCAGUCGUAGUAUGUAUUGGAGUUAUUGGCCAGACCAUCUCCGUGAUGGUAUUGACAAGGAGAAGAAUGAGAAGCUCCACAAACAUUUAUUUGUCAGCACUGGCGAUAGCGGAUAUUCUCUACAACUUGUUCGCACUGUUACUGUCAUUCAAACAUUAUCCCAAUAUUCAUGACAGGAAAUAUGCACUUUAUUGGAGGUUUUAUGGAAUAUCGCAUUGGAUCUGUGAUGCAGCAAGUAGUACAUCAGUAUGGUUGACAGUUUCAUUCACAUUGGAGAGAUACAUUGCUGUUUGUCAUCCAAUAAAAGGCAAAGUUUUGUGUACUGAAAGUAGAGCCAAAAGUAUUAUAUCAGUUGUAUACAUUUUUUGUCUUCUUACCACGAUGUCCACAACAUUCGAGUACCAGUUGUCUUUACAAGAAAGCUGCAUAGAACAGUGUCCUCCAUUGAAGUUGCAUAAAACACAUCAUCCUCACGGUAAAUCAAUAAAUCACAACGCCACAACCACCAUAUUACAUAUACCAAACGACACAAGAGUUAACGUAUCAACAAUUCAUCCAGAGUUCUACAAAGAAAUCAUCAAAUCCAUUGUGGCAAAUUGUAGCAAUCAGCAUCAACAUUUCAUCUUCCUACCAGCAUUUUACAAUCAAAACAAAACAACAAUCACAAAAUCUCACAAUCUUGCAGAUGCUUUAGCAAUGCAGUCCUCCAUAACGGACACAACAAAAGAUCAAAAUUCUACAGUUGCUGCAGAUAGUUUUAUGGACAAAAACGAAAGCUUCAAUAUGACAACUUGUUGCUUAAAAAAUAUCACUAUAGAUACAGAAUUGACAAACUUAGGCAAUAAUUUUACAUAUUCGACGUUCAUGGCCUGGUACAGUGCAGUAUUCUUCUGCUUUCUACCUUUAGUGGUAAUCGCCACAUUUAACUGCUUUUUAAUAAGAGCAGUGUACUACUCACAGAAGACGAGAAGAGCUAUGACGAAUUCUCAGGAAAAUAUAUCUAUAUCCAACGAAAAUCGCAUAACAGUGAUGCUAAUUGGAAUCGUUCUUCUAUUUCUAAUAUGUCAGACUCCGACAGCUGCUUAUUUGAUCUACAUGAAUGUACAUCAGUCGAAAACUCGGAGGCAACUGAAUAUUUCAUUAAUUGCAGGAAACAUUUUCAACUUUAUGAUCCUACUUAAUACAUCGUUUAACUUCAUUUUGUAUUGUGUGUUAUCUAGAAAGUUCAGGAGCACGUUUAAAAAGUUGUUUUGCGAACGCAAGAAAAAGCAACAAGAGACAAUCGUGCUCUCUAGUCGCAGCUCGCUUAAAUUUAAUCCUUACAAACACGGAAUACGUAGGAAUGCGUCCGAGUAUCUUACUCCAAGAAGUUUGGAGGUAACUAUCUAUUUAUUUAAUAAGGGCAAAUGGGUAAAUACAUACAACUUUAGAGUAAAAGUAUAACAACUGGACGCAGGAAUUUGUAUGUAUGGCUUUUACCAUUCUCCUAAUCUCCUCAUUGACUCAAAGUUUGACGGGGAUUCCACGAUCGAAAUCUUUAAUGAUGAGACCCUCUGGUAAAGUGAAAUCUACAGACUUAAUUGUUUAAGUAAUUUCAACUCAUAUAAACUAUAUUAGUUUUACAACAUAUCAUUAUCAUUGUAUGUAUAAGUAUUAAAAAUGUUAUGUACAUAUUUAUAGGAAAAUAAAUUAAAUAAACUGUUAUUUAUAA